UACGUAGGGGGCUAGCGUUAUCCGGAAUUACUGGGCGUAAAGGGUGCGUAGGCGGUCUUUUAAGCCAGGAGUGAAAGGCUACGGCUCAACCGUAGUAAGCUUUUGGAACUGUAAGACUUGAGUGCAGGAGAGGAGAGUGGAAUUCCUAGUGUAGCGGUGAAAUGCGUAGAUAUUAGGAGGAACACCAGUUGCGAAGGCGGCUCUCUGGACUGUAACUGACACUGAGGCACGAAAGCGUGGGGAGCAAACAGGAUUAGAUACUCGGGUAGGUCCCUGA
rnacentral:rRNA from 1 species